UUUUGAUUUUGUCAGACACGCAUUCAAAGUAGGAUCUACGCAUGCGUGCGUUUCACCAAUCACAUGCAGUCACUGGUGACGUUGGACCAAUCAAACAGAGCCAGGUGGUCACGUGACCAUCACACGUAAAACCCGACAUGUUGACAAACUUAUUGGGGUGUUACCAUUUAGUGGUCAACUGUACGGAAUAUGUACUGUACUGUGCAAUCUACUAAUAAAAGUUUCAAUCAAUCAAUCAAAAGUGUAAAGGAAAAAAGACACUUUUUAUUUCAACCGUACUUCCCGUCAAAAGCCUAAAGACUGAUCGCACACUUCCUGUCUUCACAAUAAAAGCGCCGCUCCAUCGCGCCUGCGCUAACAAAAUAAGAGUCUCCGGAAGCCAGCGCUAACAAGCUAGCAAGCUACGGAGUUUGCCGCCAAUGUAUUUCUUGUAAAGUGUAUAAAAACAAAUAUGGAAGCUGGACAAAUAAGAUGCCAAAAACCAACGACUUUCAUGAUGUAUUAGACAGGAAGGAGGAACUUUUUUUCUCCUCCAUUUGAAAACCGGGACAUUAUCAGCACUAUACUGUCUGAUUCCAAUCAAUGCAAGUCAUCAGAAUCAGCUCUUGUCUCCGGAAUUAGUGCAUCUGUGUCACCCGGCAACCAGAACCAUGUUUCCGCAAUGUCCUUGAUAACAAUGUGGAUGUGGUGACUCAGAGGCCAUUACCUCCACCAGGUCAUCUGUGCGGCACAAAGAGGCGGAGCAGAGAGACAUGCAGGUGAGACUGAGCAGAGAGACAUGCAGGUAAGAAGUAGGAGAGAACCAACACAUUUUUACAGUGCAUGAACGCCAACAAGGUUCUCCCUUUGUUAAUAAGUCGAUCAGUCAUCAAUGUUGACUUAUAUAGCCCUAAAUCACCAGUGUCUCAAAGGGCUGCACAAGCCACAACGACAUCCUCGGCUCAGAUCCCACAUCAGGGCAAGGAAAAACUCACAACCCAAUGGGAUGACAAUGAGAAACCUUGGAGGGGACCGCAGAUGUGGGACCGGUGCAAUGGACGUCGAGUGGAUCUAGCAUAAUAUUGUAAAAGAGUCCAGUCCAUAGUGGAUCUAACAUUAUAGUGAGAGUCCAGUCCAUAGUGGAUCUAACAUAAUAGUGAGAGUCCAGUCCAUAGUGGAUCCAACAUAAUAGUGAGAGU